AUACCUAAAUCCAUCAGAGCACCU
rnacentral:siRNA from 1 species